CGCCUGUGCUUUUCGGUACCGUAAGGUGGUACCAGAAUAAGGGCUGGGCAAGACCGGUGCCAGCCGCCGCGGUAAUACCGGCAGCCCAAGUGAUGGCCGAUCUUAUUGGGCCUAAAGCGUCCGUAGCUGGCCGCGCAAGUCCAUCGGGAAAUCCACCUGCUCAACAGGUGGGCGCCCGGUAGAAACUGCGUGGCUUGGGACCGGAAGGCGCGACGGGUACGUCCGGGGUAGGAGUGAAAUCCCGUAAUCCUGGACGGACCGCCGAUGGCGAAAGCACGUCGCGAGGACGGAUCCGACAGUGAGGGACGAAAGCCAGGGUCUCGAACCGGAUUAGAUACCCGGGUAGUCCUGGCCGUAAACAAUGUCUGCUAGGUGUGGCUCCCACUACGAGUGGGUGCUGUGCCGUAGGGAAGCCGCUAAGCAGACCGCCUGGGAAGUACGUCCGCAAGGAUGAAACUUAAAGGAAUUGGCGGGGGAGCAC
rnacentral:rRNA from 1 species